UCGCUAUUCGCUACUCCAGCUUGUUACAGCUUGCUAGUUUUGUUUUUUUUUGCAAAUUAAAAAAACACGAAUGUGGAGUUUUCAGAUAAUAAACUUUAACGAGCAAGAAAACGAGACGUAGCCGCAGCUGCAUGGGAACCUCAGCAUUCCCCCGGGUCAUUAUUAAUAGCGGGCUGUCGAGUUAGACUAUUUAAAGUCGUUCGUGACUUCAGUGACUCAGACCCCUUGUUUUUGUACCUUGGAAGAGUCAGUUCCGGUCUGUUUGGUAUCGUCGUGAUGAAUAAGUUUGUUUCCCAACUUGUUUGGUUUGUUUUGAACAAACUUGGUUUUGAUUUCAUGCACGUACGCAGUUAGUUUCAGCUGCAGGGAAAGACGAGCGCUUGCGAUGAGUGGAUUUUAUGUUUUUUAGUGUUGAGGACAGUGCUUUAUAAAUCAGUAAUUAACAAUAAUAAUAAUUAUAACACAAAUAAACGCGUAAUAAUAUUAAUCAGAUCAGAUUUGUGCGUUGGUGUCUGCGCCACAGGGCAGCUGUUUUUGAAAAUCUGUGCUGCUUGCACAAACUGCGCAUGCGUGAUUCGCUUUUGUUUUUUCAGCGUUAGCGUGAGUUUAAUGAGGAAACGAAUUCAUUUAUACGCGUAUUUAUGUGCAAUUGUUUGCAUUCCUCGUAUAAUAAACUCGCUUCAUGAGGUUUUCAUUAUGUGUACUUGGUUUUAUCGGUCGUAUAAUAGUAAUAGAAUAUAAUGUAAAGUCACGACACUUAGUCAACACGGGUCCUUUCAGCCUCUCCAGGUGAGCUACCCGGAGUUUAGCGGGUUAAAACCUGUCCAUUUUAUUUAAAGCACAGGUUAGCCCAUGUUGAAGCGUCAUUUCUGCCUCUGCAAGUUACCUACCUAUUGUUCAAUUGAGGUAUCGCAUGUGGAGGGGGAGGAGCAGAUUUUCAGAACACCGCCCCUCAAACACAAGCGCUGUACAAACCAAUUCAAUUACAAUACUGUACAGAAACUCUCUCAUCUUCAGAUUCAUGUCGAGACACAGUCAAUAGACCUGCAGCGGGCUUGUCUGUAUCCACAGCAUUGAUUAUUUCUGCUGCAGAAACACAGCUAACCGAGGAACGAGUGAAUUGGAAGAGAGAGAGACAUGAACCCAACUCCAAGGAGAAGGAACAGCAAAGAGCCUGCCAGAGGGAAAGCUCAGGAGCAGACAGAGGGGGGCUCGGAGGACAAGGAGGAACUGGAGAGACUAAGGAGGGAAAACAAGGAGCUGGAGGCGAUGUACAAGGAGGAGAAACUGAGGAGAGAGGAGCUUGAAGAGACCCUCCGAGACCUCAAGCCCCAGUGAAUGGACCCCCAGUUUGAGACUCUAGCCACCCCCACAGCAACGAUAUAUUUCUUUCAAAACGGUCUUCAGAAUUAGUUGUCCCUCUCUAAGCCGGACACGUCUGGAGUUGUCUGAGUUAAAAAACAAACAAACAAAAACAUUUUGUAUAAAUAUCUACAGUAGGCCUAAACUACUGGCUCUUAGUCGAAUUUGCUCUCAAACGUGAUUAUUUUCUGUAUUGUUCUCAGUUGAAUUUGCUCCUGUUUGCCGCUGAUUUGACUGUAUUUUUAUAACGGCUCUUAUCUGUAAUGUGAUAUUUUGUAACUCCUGUAAGUCGCCCUGGAUAAGGGCGUCUGCUAAGAAAUAAAUAAUAAUAA